rnacentral:misc_RNA from 1 species
GAAUAGGUCUCACAGAUGUCAAGGACGUUGGAUAGUUUAAAAAUUCUGUAAACUCAUGUUUCCCAGUCUUAUUGUACAAGUGAUUGUGUUUUAUUGAGAAAAAUAUUCAAUAUAUUAGCUUCCAUGAAAUUUGAUAUGUUAAGAUUUAUUCAGAAUUUAAUUGACUUUGUAUGCAUUGAUUUACAAGUUUUUCACAAGUGUGCGAUUUUAUGAGCAGUUAAUUUAUUACAUAUGUACAUUUUUCAUUAUUAAGUGCUAAUAUUCGAAGAGGAUUACCUUUUGAAUGAAGGAUUUAUUUCCAUGAUAAAACAUUUCCAAUAUAAGUAUUUUGGAGAAAAUUACUGAUAUAUUUAGGAAAACUGAAUUCAGAUCAGUAGCAUACAUAUAUGCCAAGUUCAAUACUCUACGUGUAGCGGUGUGCCUUCAGCAUGACUGUGUGAACAUGUUUAUGAAUAAACUUGAAUUUUUUAACAUGGUCUGUAUGUAUAUGAAUUAAUUUAUAAAAGGCUGGGCGUUUUGUUUGUUAUCAUGUUGGUGCUGUUAAAGCAUUUGCUAUCAUGACUUCUCACAAGUUUGUUUUUGUUAUUUUAUUUGUCAACGAGUCCUGUAAUAUUUGUAAUAAAAUAAUAGAAAAUAC